GGCUGAUAAGGCACUCGAUAACUAUAACGAGGGUGAGAUUCCUGCUUACUCUAAACUGAAGAAGAUGAAUGUGAGAAUAGCUCAGAAGCUCUGUCUCUGUAUGGGCCCGACCGUGGAGGGGAAUAGCAAUCAGCACUUUCCCUCUCCAAGUUGUGUCCCUCAUUUCCACCACUCUGAGUUUCUCAUCCCAGCACCUGAGCAGAUGAGCGGAAGUCUGAGUCGGAGUCUCCGUGUCUAAUCCUGCGCGGGAAUGCCACGGAAGCAGAGAGAAGUUUGGAUGAAGCGGCUCACAGCUGAAGCCAUUGGAACAGCUGGAGAUAACGGCGGCAGGCAGGUCAUGUGUCAGGGCUGAUGGGGGAAACAGCGGACUCGGAAUGGCUUCCUGCGUCACGCCAAUGACAGAAGAAUACACUGCGAUAAAGACAGAUGAUCCCUAAUUGGAUGGAGACUAAAUGGUGCUUCACCUAUUUGCAGGAGCGUUCUUUUGUUUACGACCCCUACGCGGGCUUGUUAGUGUGGGAGCACCUGAUUACAUGGCAUGGUAUGACUAAUUAUAUCAUUAUUGGCUAUAAUUAAAAACAUAUCAAAUGUUUCAAUAAAAACACUUGUGAUUGGUUA